rnacentral:rRNA from 1 species
AUGCCAAGCUCCAGGCCAUCACAUUCUAAUAGUACUUCCAAGAACUAUUCAGAAUCUCAAGAAAGUGAGGGAAGUUACAGAUUCCAUAUGAGAUCCCAGGGAGCUAGAGAUAUUAACCAGACCAGCUGGCUAAGUGGUGGUGCAUCGCAAGUUGACUAUGGCGUUCUUGGAAAUGGGAAUCAGGCAACUAAUCUUGGUUCAGGUGCUGGUUACGGUCAUGGUUAUCAUCAUGGUAAUGGCAUUGGCGACAUAAAUGGUUAUGAUCAUCAUUACGGUACUGUCGGUUUUAAUGAUUAUGCUCAGCGUUAUGGUAAUGGAAAUAAUAAAUCUUAUGGUUAUCCUCACAGUAAUUCUAAUUAUAAUAAUUAUGGUAAUGGUAAUGGUGGUUGCGGUGGAGUUAUAACAAGUGGAAGCAUGGCAAGUGCAUCAUUGCCAUCCAACCUAGCACCACCAGUACAACAUGGAAUGCGUGGAGAUGCUUCUGCUGGUCAGGCCAGUGCAGUGCAGCCUCAUAAGCUUGACAGAGUUUUUUUAAACUGGGGCAACACUAGUUCUGAAACAGUCGGCACAUCAGGUGGAGGUGGUGUUGUGACAGACAUGACGGUGCAUGGGAUAACUAUGGAGGAAUUAGAAAACCUUACGAAGCACUAG